rnacentral:rRNA from 1 species
UGGGGAAUAUUGGACAAUGGGGGCAACCCUGAUCCAGCAAUGCCGCGUGUGUGAAGAAGGUCUUCGGAUUGUAAAGCACUUUCGACGGGGACGAUGAUGACGGUACCCGUAGAAGAAGCCCCGGCUAACUUCGUGCCAGCAGCCGCGGUAAUACGAAGGGGGCUAGCGUUGCUCGGAAUGACUGGGCGUAAAGGGCGUGUAGGCGGUUUACACAGUCAGAUGUGAAAUCCCCGGGCUUAACCUGGGAGCUGCAUUUGAUACGUGUAGACUAGAGUGUGAGAGAGGGUUUGUGGAAUUCCCAGUGUAGAGGUGAAAUUCGUAGAUAUUGGGAAGAACACCGGUGGCGAAGGCGGCAACCUGGCUCAUGACUGACGCUGAGGCGCGAAAGCGUGGGGAGCAAACAGGUUAGAUACCCUGGUAGUCCACGCCUGUAAACGAUGUGUGCUAGAUGUUGGGUAACUUU